rnacentral:rRNA from 1 species
UACAGAGGUCUCAAGCGUUGUUCGGAUUCAUUGGGCGUAAAGGGUGCGUAGGUGGUGGGGUAAGUCGGAUGUGAAAUCCCGGGGCUCAACCCCGGAACUGCAUUCGAUACUGCCUUGCUCGAGUACUGGAGAGGAGACUGGAAUUUACGGUGUAGCAGUGAAAUGCGUAGAUAUCAGGAGGAAUACCUAUGGCGAAAGCAGGUAUCUGGGCCAUCACUGACGCUGAGCUGCGAAAGCUAGGGGAGCAAACAGG